CUUGAACGCUGGCGGCAGGCCUAACACAUGCAAGUUGAGCGAGCGGCGGACGGGUGAGUAAUGUAUGGGGACUGCCCGAUAGAGGGGGAUAACUACUGGAAACGGUAGCUAAUACAGCAUACUAUCGGAUAACCCAUAUGGGAUUAGCUAGUGGGUGAGGAAAUGGCUCACCUAGGCGACGGUCCCUAGCUGGUCUGAGAGGAUAAUCCGCCACUCUGGGGCUGAGACGGGGCCAAAACUCCAGCGGAGGCAGCAGUGGGGAUUAUUGCACAAUGGACUCAAGCCUGAUGCAGCCAUGCCGCGUGUAUGAAGAAGGACCUAGGGUUGUAAAGUACUUUCAGUAGGGAGACGUUACCGACAGAAGAAGCACCAGCUAACUCCGUGCCAGCAGCCGCGGUAAUAC
rnacentral:rRNA from 1 species